rnacentral:rRNA from 1 species
GACGAACGCUGGCGGCGUGCUUAACACAUGCAAGUCGAACGAAGUGGCGAACGGGUGAGUAACGCGUAAUAAACCUGCCCUUCAGAGGGGGACAACAGUUGGAAACGACUGCAAAUACCGCAUACUGAAGGAGGGGAUUGCGUCUGAUUAGCUAGUUGGAGGGGUAAAGGCCCACCAAGGCGAUGAUCAGUCACCGGUCUGAGAGGAUGGACGGCCAAAUUGGGACCGGGACACGGCCCAGACGCCUACAGGAGGCAGCAGUGGGGAAGUUUCCGCAAUGGAAGGAAGUCUGAAGGAGCAAAGCCGCGUGAGGGAUGACGGCCUUCGGGUUGGAAAGGUCUGUUAAUCGGGACGCGGUACCGGAAUAGAAAGCCACGGCUAACUACGUGCCAGCAGCCGCGGUAAUAC